CUAAGGCCGUCGUCCGCCAUGUUGGUGCAUCUGGUCGAGGUCCUCUUAUAUACCGUUUUUCCGCGUUCGUCAAGGUUGUGUGUGCUGUUUUCGGCCGGACUAACAACAGUAUUCGCGACAAAGGGUUGAAGGGGUGAUAUUUACAGGUUGUGUGACUGGCAGGAUAGCAGGAAUAGUGAUGAGGUCUGGCAAGGCCGCCUCGCAUCAGAGCGUCCAUGAGGGACUGUACCUGCAGUCUGCCACAGAUGCCUCCGCUCUUCCAUGGGCACCACUACGCCGAGGCUCUGAGGCAGGCUCUUCCAUGGGCACCACUACGCCGAGGCUCUGAGGCAGGCUCUUCCAUGGGCACCACUACGCCGAGGCUCUGAGGCAGGCUCUUCCAUGGGCA